GGGCCCGCACAAGCGGCGGAGCAUGCGGAUUANUUCGAUGCAACGCGAAGAACCUUACCAAGGCUUGACAUAUAGAGGAAACGUCUGGAAACAGUCGCCCCGCAAGGUCUCUAUACAGGUGGUGCAUGGUUGUCGUCAGCUCGUGUCGUGAGAUGUUGGGUUAAGUCCCGCAACGAGCGCAACCCUCGUCCUAUGUUGCCAGCACGUAAUGGUGGGAACUCAUGGGAUACUGCCGGGGUCAACUCGGAGGAAGGUGGGGAUGACGUCAAAUCAUCAUGCCCCUUAUGUCUUGGGCUUCACGCAUGCUACAAUGGCCGGUACAAAGGGUUGCGAUACCGUGAGGUGGAGCGAAUCCCAAAAAGCCGGUCUCAGUUCGGAUUGGGGUCUGCAACUCGACCCCAUGAAGUCGGAGUCGCUAGUAAUCGCAGAUCAGCAACGCUGCGGUGAAUACGUUCCCGGGCCUUGUACACACCGCCCGUCAAGUCAUGAAAGUCGGUAACACCCGAAGCCAGUGGCCUAACCCGCAAGGGGAGGAGCUGUCGAAGGUGGGAUCGGUGAUUAGGACUAAGUCGUA
rnacentral:rRNA from 1 species